AUGAAAGGGAUCUGCUACAAGUGCAAAGAACCAUGGUUUCCUGGCCACAAGAAAGUUGGCAAAUUGGCAAAUCAAAUGCAGAUUCAAGCCUUGCAAGAGACCUGCCCUGAGGAUGCAGAAUUGGUCUACUACACGGCUGAUGAUACUGAAGCUCCACCUCCCACUGACUUGAAUGACACCCCCUUGCAAAUCUCUAUGCAUGCCCUCAUGGGAGUUACUUCCUCCAAGCUGAGUUUCACUGUGACAGUCAUGUUGGGAGACAAACCUGCAACUGCCCUCAUUGACAGUGGAAGCACUGCAACAUUUGUAACUCCUGCACUAGCAAAGUUGGCUCUGUGUGCCCUCACACCAACUAAGAAAAAGAAAGUGUUAGUGGCCAAUGGAGCAACUUUAUGGACUGAAUUCAUUGCUCUCCAAUGCCCUUUUGCGGUGCAAGGAACUGAAUUUUCCCAUGAUUUCAGAGUCCUACAGUUGCAAGGUUAUGAUGUGAUACUGGGAGCUGAUUGGAUGAAAAUUGUUAGUCCUGUACAGCUAGAUUUUGAGGAAAUGGAAGUACAAGUCACCCGGAAAUCAGGAGAAAAGAAAAUCUUCAAGGAUGAAAGCCUACCCAGUGAGCCAGUUCAAGAAAUGGACAGUAUGGAGCACUUAUCUGAUGACAAUAUCUGUGAGGCUGUGUUGCUGCUAAACAGAAUUGCUCUGACAGAACAUGAGGACACUGUUGUUCCCCCUCCUGUCCAAGAACUUCUGGGUCAGUACAAAGAUAUUUUUGGAACUCCUACUGAUUUACCUCCUAAGAGAACUGUUGAUCAUGCUAUUCCCUUUGAACCUGGUGCAAAAGUUAUAAACCAAAGGCCAUACAGACUGCCUUAUCACCAAAAGGAAGCUAUGGAACAGAUCAUUCAGGAAAUGAUUAAAAACAAAGUGAUCAGAGACAGUUCAAGUCCUUACUCCUCUCCUGCAAUUUUGGUGAAAAAGAAAGACCUAUCCUGGAGACUUUGCAAUGAUUUCAGAAAGGUCAAUACUCAGACUAUCAAAAACAAGUACCCCAUCCCUGUUAUUGAGGACUUGUUGGAUGAACUGCAUGGAGCCACUAUUUUCACUAAACUUGAUCUCAGAAGUGGAUACCAUUAG
rnacentral:rRNA from 1 species